UUUAUUUCCGCCGCCACGCCACGCGCACCUCGGCCAAGGACAAGGCUCCGGCUGCCGCCACCGCCUCUGCCCCGGCUAUAAGCCGCGCCCUUUGGCCGGCCCGCUCCUCCUCCUCCUCGCUUCGCCCGGGCCGUGCCUUCCUCCUCCUCGCCGCGCCCUGCCCGGUCCGCUCCUCCUCCUCUUCGUCCAGGCGGUGCCUCUCUCCUCCGACCUCCCCGCCGCACUCCGGCUGGUCCGCUGCUCCUCCACCCUUCGCCCGGGCCGGGUGUAUGUCCUCCUCGAGCCGGAUUUCAUCUUGCUCGUCCUCCUCGAUCAAUUUCCCCCUCUAGAAUCGCGUCCGGAUUUGAUUUUGCUCGCCCUCGCCCUCGCCGGUUUACAUAGAUAGAAAUCCCGCCUGAUUUGAUUUUGCUCGUUCUCGCCGUCGUCCGUCUAGAACCGCGUCCGAUUUGAUUUUGCUCGUGCUCAUUUCGUCAGUUUAGAGAGUCGCUUCCGAGUUGAUUUUGCGCGUCCCCGCCGUCGUCGGUCUAGAGUCGCUUCUGAUUUGGUUCUGCUCGUCCUCGCCGUCGUCCGUUUUUGCUCGUCCUUGCCGUUUGCCCCGGCGCGCUCGCAUGUUCUUGGUCCGUCUCGUCGAGGGUGUUCGUCUGGUUUGCGGUUCAGAAAUCUCUGCGUGCGCUUCUGUUGUCCGAGCGACACCUUGGAUCCCCGCGUUUCGUGUUCGUGUCAGCGCGAGCGUUACAGGAACGGUAGGGUCUUGGUUUUGAAAUUAGGUUACGGCCGGAGAUGGAGAGGCGGAGAGCAAUUGUCAGUAUGUCGUGCUAGUUCAGAUCGGUUCAUAGGCUCCUGCGUUGUUCGUCGGUUGUUGUCUGAUCUCAAACGCCUAGCUUGUUCGUGUUAGCCUAGAUACUCUGUUUCACUUUCGUCAGGCUAGAUGCAGGGGUGAUUUUGUUCUGAUGGGUGUUAAUGCUUCUGUUCUUUUCAAUUGGUUACUUCCUAUCAUGCUUUGCUUAUGUUCCAUAUAUGGUGAUGUGUGUUCAGGGGUGCAAACCAUGUAGGCCGUGGGUGCCAUUUCCAGCAGGCAGCAGAGCAGAAAGUAGUGCAAAUCAUGUGGCUGCUGCUUGACAUUGAACACCUGCUGCUGCUACUGCUGGACAAGGUUUCCUUCUUUUGUUCCUCAUGUUGCUAUUUCCAUUUUCAUAUUGGAGUACUAGAUGGGGUGCCUCAGACUUUGUUCUAGAUUGCAUAGCAUAACUCCAGAAUUUUGUCAUUACACACCUGAGCAUAAUUCCAGAGUUUAUUUAUCUGUGAAAGCACGCUCAUCACACGUUUCUUAUCAAUGCUGCUCACUUUUGUCAUGUCCCGUUUGUUUGUCCUGUUAAAUUUUAUGGAGCAAAUUUUGUACUCACUGGUUAAAAUAUCAAGAAUGCUGACUUUUGUAUUUGUCUCUAUGUAAGCCAUGCACUUGGGAAGCCUGGGCGUGAUUAGGAUUUGGAUUGCAUAUAGAUUUUAUGCUAUGUUUGUUUAUAACCUGGUUGUGACCUAAUAUAGUGUAAAUCUGCUAAUUUUUUUAUUUAAUUUGUGUUCAAUGCAAGUAGGUUUUGUUCGUAAGUGGUAUUUCUUUUGCGUGUGCAUGAACAUUCAUGCUGUCAAUUUUUCUUAUCAUAAUCAUUUACCGUGGUGUUUGACAAUACAUUUCUAGAGUUCUUUGUUCCCUUUUGAGGUUCCCUGACUCAAUUAUGCAUGAGAUAUGAUAUCAAUUACUGUUGUCCAGUCGCUGAAAUAAUGCUUUUCUUGCUUUGCCUAGACCUUGUUGCAAGAAUAAGCAUGUGUCUCUGUGCCUACAAACUUGUGGGUAGUGCCGUAGUGAUGAUGAUCUAACUAGCUUCCUGUUUUCAGGAAUGAAGAUCUGAAUUACCCUCACCCCUCUACAGAAAUCAGUUUACUCAUUCAGUUUCUGGAACUUCUUUAUAUUAGCUUUAUUUUUGUACCCUUAUCUAUGUCUGUUUCUGUUUCCUUGUGUGUUUCUUGUGUGCAAGCGAUCCAUUGUGUGUGUCUGAUUGUGUGUCUGAAUGACUGUAUGUGUGAUGUGCCCCUAUCUAUGUAUGUUUCUUUGUCUGUUUCAUGUGUGCAAACACUCCAUUGUCUGCGUGUGACUGUUUGACUGCUUAGAUGGGGUGAUGAUUCUGAUUGUGUUACUGAUUGUAUGAUCUGUCCAAUUGGUUUCUUCUUCAUGCUUUGCUUGUGUUCCAAUGUCGUCUCCCCAUAUAUGGGGAUCUGUUCAAGGAUGCAAACCAUGUAGGCCGUUUCGAGCAGGCAGGGAUCCAGAGACAUGCACUGGUCAGGCUUCUCUCCUGCUGAUAGAUGAUGAUAGGCUGAGCAGAAAAGUUUGAUUCUUGUAACACUCACUUGCUUGGCUUCCACUCCUUUGCGUGGCCGAUUUGGCAUCCAAUGCAUCCCAUGCCCUUUUCCCUGUUUAUCUCACUCACUCAUCACAGCACCCUUUUCCCUGCUUUUGUUCCUUAUUUUUCUUAUCAUAAUAAUCAUGUUUACCGUGGUGUUUGACAAUACAUUUUUUGUGAUAUCUGUGUUUGACAAUAAUUAUGUUCUUUUUUUGGUAUUACUGAUGUCCGAUCACUGGAAUAAUGCUUCUGUAAGUAUUUCAGGUAGGAUAUAGACAAAUGUCACAUUUGCUCUUCCUUGCAUUGCUGAGGACACUGAUGGGUUGGGUUUGCUUACAGCGCAGGACAGAUAAUUCUAUAAAGAAUCAUUGGAAUAUUUCUUUGAGAAAGAAGAUAGAUAUCUAUGGCACCAGAAAUAUUUUGGCAAUUCCAAGACUAAUUGCCUUGAUGACUUCAAGUAUAAACAAAAGACGGCUGCUUCUGAGGGCCAUCUUGACCUGAACAACUCAUCAUUCUAAUUUUAGCUCACCUCUACAGUCAUACAAACUGGCACGCCAAUGCUCCGGGUUCCUAUUGCUUUCUGUUAGCCCAACUAAGGUAAUCAAAUUUUGAUCUUCAGCUUGCAAAUUUAUCACCUUAUGGGAGGGAAAGGUUUGCAUGUACAUGAGCUCUGAUUAUAUACUUGGAUUGCUUUGGAUUUGUCGGACUACUAUUCUACAUGAUGUUCUCCAUGAUUCACUUGAUUUGUUAAUUUGAGUAUUUUCCUGGUGAGUUCUUUAGGUUCAUCUUGUGACACAAAAUACAAUUUUGGUACGUGCAGACUCUGAAAUUUGGUGAUAAAGAAAAGGUACCUCCUUAUUUGCUCUCUGUCUCUCUUACACUUGACUUUGUUUAUAUAACAGUAGUGGCCUCCUAGCUUGUAGUUGGGUAAUGCAGAGAGAGGUUUGGAAUCGAAGAGCUAAAAUAAUGCAGAGUUGAAGGUUCUGAACGGGAAGCUUGAACAAAUAAUUUACUUUUUCUCAUGUCUUUGAUUAGUUUCAUCCUAUCUCUGUCUGUUUCUUGUGUGCAAGCACUCCAUUGUGUCUGUGUGACUGUGUGACUGACUGUUUGUGUGUGUGACUGAUUGUGUGUGUUUCUUUGUCUGUUUCUUGUGUGCAAGCGCUCCAUUGUGUGUGCGCAUUUGUGUUGACUGUGACUGUGUAUUGAUUGUGACUGUGUGUGUGUGUGUUGACUGUGACUGUGUGUCAUUUUAUGACUGUGAAUGUGUAUUGAUUGUGACUGUGUGUGUGUGUGUGUUGACUGUGACUGUGUGUCAUUGUGCAAGCUCUCCAUAACUACCUAUGCAUGAAAAUUUCUAUAAGGUCAUGGGCAUGUAAUUUUGUGGCUUACAUACCUCUGUAGUUGGUAGUAUCAUUGCCCUUUGGACACUCUUCAAUGCAUUGUUGUAUAUUUUCCUGCCACAAGUAUGAUGUUUGUGCUCAGAAUGAUGUAUAUGUAGAAUCCAGGGUGGAUGGAGGUUUUCAUGAUGGCUAAUUUGAUUUGUUAUGGUUCUGAUGGUGUGCUUCUUGUGUUUGAACUGAAGCCGUGGAUCACUCAUCAACCUGGUCUGUGUUUGUAUGUGUGGUGAGCUCACAUAUUGUGUCAGUAUCUACCUACGCAGCUGAAUUAUUUCCGGAUAGGACAGAGGUGCAAUGUUUACAUCCAUGGUAGAAGGUUCUUUAACACUGAACUCAUCAAAGGUCCUUGGACUCAAGAGGAAGAUGAAAAAAUUAUUGACCUUGUAAACAAGUAUGGAUUAACAAAAUGGUCGCAUUGUAAGGUCAGCUACCAGAACUUCCUGCUGCUGAUCCUAGGAUGUUUCCGAACAUGUUCAAUUUGUCCGCCCUAGGACAGCCACUGCCAUGACACAGCAGGUUACUCGGCAUGCUCUGCGUGUUUACUUUGGUGGACUUCCUCCGAUCGCUAAUGAACAGACGGUUGCUCUAUUCUUCAAUCAAGUUCUGGCUGCUAUCGGGGGAAACACAUUUGGUCUAGGUGGCAUAAUCAUCUGAAUCCAAACAUAUGGAAUGAUGCUUGGACUACUGAGGAGGAACAUGCACUGAUUAAUGCCAUCAAAUAUAUGGGAAUAAAUGAGCAGAAAUAGCAAAAGUUAUUCCUGGAAGACGUGAUAGAGCUCAAUUGGUGGCACUCGUAGGCUUUGAAGAGGACGUUGCGAGCUCGAGCCCAUGAUACGCCAACCUUUUUUUCACUCCCUGGGAAGCCAGCCACGUUGAGACUUUUGGCCCAGGUGACCUACAAAACGGGCUCAGGCUCAGGCUCCAAGCGAUGUGUGAAACGAUUUUUAAUGGACUGCAUGGAUUUUCCUACAAAUUUGCCUAUAAAAAGCUUAUAUACCUUAAAUAUCAAAUCACCUAAGCGGGACGGAACCAAGAAUAUUAUCUUGCUUUAAUAGUAGGUAUUAAAAAAUGUUAAAUUAUCAAAGCAUGUCUAUGUUCGGAGUUUCGAACAAUUUCCUGUUUUCAAAAACUAGUUCAUAUAUCCAAAAAUUGUUUGUGUUUUAAAAAAAGAUUGAGUUUUUUAAAUAAAGAAAUUAAAAAUGUUCGUCUUUCAAGAAAAACUGUUUUAAAAAAAUUACCUUUGAAAUUUGAGAAAAUAUUCGAAUCUGCCAAUGCCUUUGGUUCUUUUUUUUUGCGGGAUAAACUUUCGAUCUAUUCAUCUUCAAUCAUGACAGUACAACGAACACAAGAAAUAAUAAAAAUUACGUCCAAAUCCGUAGACCACCUAGCGACGACUACAAGCACUAAAGCGAGCCAAUGCCUUUGGUUCUUUGACGUUUGCAUUUUUAAAUUGUUUGACAUGCCUCACGGGCGCGGCCAAGUCCUUAGAGCAUCUCCAGUCGCGCCCCCAACAGGCCCCCCAGGUGACUUUUUACGCGCCGGCGCCGAAAAAACCCCUCAGUCACGCCCCCAAGACGCCGAAUAUGGGCCGAUUCGUGCCGAUAUCACGCUAUUUUUUGCCGAAAUUGGGCCAAAAAAUGGGCUGAUAUCGGCACCCGGGGGCGACGGCUAGGUGCCCAACCGCCCCCAGAGCCGAUUAUACCACCGGCUCACUCCCAUGCGGCGAUUUUUAUGCCUCUUAGGGGGCCAACGGCUGGAGAUGCUCUUAGCUAGGGUCGCCUAAAGGAGAUGCUACUGGGUCGGUACAUUAACGUUGGUGAUGUCAACAUCACAUGGUUUUUCCUCUUUGUUUUUUCCUUCCGAUUUUACUUCACAUUGGUUUUCUGUUUUUAUAUCUUAAAACAUUCUAAAUAUAUAUAUUAAAAAAUUAUUUACCAUUUUUGUUUUAGAAAUGUUAAGAUUGCAUUUGAAAAUAAAAUGAAAACAUGUAUGGAAAAAUGUUUCUAACGUAUCUGAAAAAUAUUAGUAAUCUGUACAAAAAAGUGUUUGAAAAAUGCCACGCUUUAGAAUAACUGUACAUGCCAUGUAAAAAUGAUUUUUAGAAAAUACAAAAAAUGUCCAUAUAAAUAUAAAAAAGGUUUCAUACAUCAAAAAAGGGAAACCCUUUGUUUCAACCGACUGAUUCUAUGGCUGGCGCAAACCUCCUCGGGAGCCGUCCGAUCGAGUUUGAUCGUGCGGCGCUGGCAUCUCUCACGCCCCCGCCUAGACAGCAACACGGGCUCAGCAGCCUCAGCUUCGACUGCAUCGCGCUCGACCGCCUAGCGUCUCAGGGAGAUGGAAGCAGGGGCGUCAGAUCCGGGCGCUACUCAAGCAGUAGCUGGUGUGAGAGGCGACGCGGCGAGCCACGGCGACGGCGGCUGGAUCAAACUAAGAGAAUCGAUGACGACGCUUUGCCACGCAGGUAUUCAACACACUUACCCCAAAUCGAGCUGAAAUGCUAGGUCUCGAUACAAAAUCAGGGGUACUCGUGCGGGGGCUCGAUGAGCGGCGCUCGUGAGGCAGAGGGGAGUCAAUGGCGUUGUGAUUUUGGGGAAGAGGGGCUUGUCAGGGCGGAUUUCCUUGUUUCAGUGCAGCAAAUCCACAUUGAAAGCAAAUCCAAUCUGAGAUGGGUGUGAUCUGGGGCUUCACAGCAGCGAAUGUUGUUUUUCAGACUGGGAGUGGUGCUUCAUUGCAACACAGACUGGGAUGUGCUUCUUUUAUUUUGCUUUUUCUAGGCAUGGGCUUGAUUUUAACCAACUGCGAGUGAUGUUUCAUUCCAGUACAGACUACUGUUGUUUUCUUUUCUUUUCUAGGCAUGGGCUUGAGUUUACCCAACUGAGUGUUGUUUCAUUGCAGUACAGACUACUGGUGUUUUCUUCUUUCUUUUGUCAAAAUGAGGCUUCUGAUUACAUGUAUGGUAUGCUGUAUAUAAUAUGAUAAUGUAUCAUUAGUAACUUUGUUUCACUAGCAGGGUUACCUUUUGUGUAAUGCUUCAUUAGUGCUGGAUAAUGUAAUACUCGUGUGAUGUGCUUCGUCAGCCUAACAGAGCUGUAUCUCUUCUUCAUUGCUAAUUAAUCAUGUUGGUCAUUGGUCGCCUUCGUGCGGCUGUCUGAACUCCCAAGUACCGUGAUAUCUCUGACAGACAAACACAAUAUUCAUGCUCUGGCGGAUAAUCUCUGUACAAUAUUCACCAGUUGAGUAGCAUAGUUGUAGUUUACUUCA